rnacentral:lncRNA from 1 species
ACAUGAGGACUUGAGACUUGAGACGGACUGAUACGCAUGCUUGCCAUUGUGCUCAUUCGCACAUGCUUGUGAGGGUCGCUCCCUACAAGCCGGCACUCCGGAGUUGGCCAUCGCGAUACGUUCGCCGUGCGGGAUUGGGCGCCGAAGUGGAUUGCCGUGGGAAAGGCUCAUUCCUAGGGUGGGGAUGUUGACUACCACGGGGCCAUUAGGCACGGUAAAGCCAGACAGCCUUCGGGUGGGUCUUAUGCCAGACAGCCUUCGGGUGGGUCUUAUCAGAGUUGAACUUUAAACAGUUAAAGUGACAAGUGGACAUUGACUAGAGUAGUGAACAUUGACAUUAUUGCUAUUCAC